rnacentral:rRNA from 1 species
UGAGGAAUAUUGGUCAAUGGACGGAAGUCUGAACCAGCCAUGCCGCGUGCAGGAUGACGGCUCUAUGAGUUGUAAACUGCUUUUGUACGAGGGUAAACUUGGAUACGUGUAUCCAACUGAAAGUAUCGUACGAAUAAGGAUCGGCUAACUCCGUGCCAGCAGCCGCGGUAAUACGGAGGAUCCGAGCGUUAUCCGGAUUUAUUGGGUUUAAAGGGUGCGUAGGUGGUUUUAUAAGUUAGAGGUGAAAGCUAGAUGCUUAACAUUUAAAUUGCCUCUAAUACUGUAGAACUAGAGACUAGUUGCAGAAGGCGGAAUGUGUGGUGUAGCGGUGAAAUGCUUAGAUAUCACACAGAACACCGAUUGCGAAGGCAGCUUUCUAAGCUAUGUCUGACACUGAGGCACGAAAGCGUGGGGAGCAAACA